rnacentral:rRNA from 1 species
UUAUAACUUAUUAUUAUAAUAAAUAUAUUAUUAAUUGUGAGAAAAUAAUUUAAUAAUAAAAAAUUUAGUAUUAAUUAAGAAAUUUUAUAAGAUAAUAGUUAAUAGUAUUGUAAAAGAAUGUUAAUAUAUUAAAAAAUAAUUAAAUAAAAUAAAUUUAAAUGUGCCUUGUGUAUCAUAAAAUAAUAAAUUAAUUUUUAUAAAAAUUAAUCCCGAAAAAAAGGUAGUUAAAUUAUUAAAAAAGUUUUUAUAUUAAUAAGAUUAAUAAUAAUAAUUUAGAGGUGAAAUGUCAGUCGAACUUUUAUAUCUAUAUUUAAAAUAUUUAAAAAGAACUCGGCAAAAAGAUUCUUGCCUGUUUAACAAAAACAUGUCUAUAUGAAGGUAUAUAUAGUUUAACCUGCUCACUGAUUAUAUUAAAGAGCCGCAGUAUUCUGACUGUGCGAAGGUAGCAUAAUAAAUUGUCUUUUAAAUGAAGGCUUGAAUGAAAGGUUGGACAAAGUGUCAUCUGUUUCUUAAAUAUUUAUUGAAUUUGACUUUCAAGUGAAAAGGCUUGAAUAAAUUAAAAAGACGAUAAGACCCUAUAAAUCUUUACAAUAAAUAAAUUUUAUAUUUUAAUUUAUAAGUAUAUAAGAUAUUAAGUUUAAUAGUUGUUUCGCUGGGGCGGCGUAGAUAUAUAAAUAAACUGUCUAUAUGUUAAAUUCAAUAAUUAUUGAUUAAUUAUAUUGAUCCUUAAAUAGAUUAAAAGAUUAAGAUACUUUAGGGAUAACAGCGUUAUUUUUUCUGAGAGUUCUUAUCGAAGAAAAAGUUUGCGACCUCGAUGUUGAAUUAAGGUAUCUUUAUGGUGUAGUCGCUAUAAGAGAGAGUCUGUUCGACUUUUAAUACUUUACAUGAUUUGAGUUCAGACCGGCGUGAGCCAGGUUGGUUUCUAUCUUUUAUUAAAUGUUAAAUUAUUUUAGUACGAAAGGACCAAAUAAUUAAAAAAUUUUUAUAAUUCAGAAUAUUAAUAUCUUCUUAAUUAUUAGUUUGUAAACUAAAUAAUAUUAUAAAAUAAUAAAGAAGAAAACAUU